GUACUGAUAGCUUAAAAUAAAGCAUUAGUUUUGUAAACUAAAAAUGAAGGUUUAACUCCCUCUCAGCACU
rnacentral:tRNA from 1 species